UACGGGGGGAGCAAGCGUUGUUCGGAUUUACUGGGCGUAAAGGGCUCGUAGGCGGUCCAUCGCGUCGGGAGUGAAAAGCUGGGGCUUAACCCCAGUCCUGCUUCCGAUACGGGUGGACUAGAGGUAGGUAGGGGAGAUCGGAAUUCCUAGUGUAGCGGUGAAAUGCGCAGAUAUCAGGAGGAACACCAACGGCGAAGGCAGCUCUCUGGGACGUUACUGACGCUGAGACGCGAAAGCGUGGGGAGCAAACAGG
rnacentral:rRNA from 1 species